UGCAGGUAAGAACAGUGAAAGUCAGCAACAUUUCCCUGGCUGUAUCAGAAAGGGACAUCAAGGAAUUCUUUUCCUUCUCAGGGGACAUUCAAUAUAUUGAAUUGCGGAGCGAAUCUGAAAGGUCUCAGAUUGCUUAUGUCACUUUCAAGGAGUCACAGGGAGCAGACACAGCAAUGCUUCUCUGAGUGAGUUAAAUUUUAAUAAUGCAAAUUACUCGCUAACAUGUUCCAAUCUCAGGAAAAGAAAUUUUACAAAUAACCUUCAUGUCCUUCAUGUUUUUCUAAUAUACAAUCUGGAAGAUUUUGGGUGCACCAUUUCAGUUCUUUAUGGAUGCAGGGAGCAACUAUAGCUGAUCUUUGUGUCAGCAUUACGCCAGUUGAGGAUUACCAGCUUCCUCCUGAAGCUUACAAAGAGAUACAGGAAGGGAAGCUCUCGUC